AUCCCUACUCAUAUUCGAUGGACCUAGCCAUCAUGUCUAAUUGUGUAUUAUGUUUUUCUUUUCACUGAUUUUUUUUUUCUUUAAAACUUCACUAAACUACCCAUCUAAGCGUCAUUGGCGUACUUGUAAAAUGUGUUAUUCUGGUGUCACCAAAUUUGGAUAUGCGUGGUGUUGUGUUUAGCAAGGAGCUCUAUAACACUCAUCAAAUGAUAAUAUGACCCUUUUUUGGUAUGAAGAAAUCUACUUGGCCUAAAGCUACAGUAUCGAAUUGUUACUUGAGAAUAGAUUUGUGAAAAGGUACAGUAUCGAAUUGUUUAUUUUGAGAUUACCGGAGUACUACACACCAUUUGCAAUAGAAAAAGAAAUAAUGUGGGUCUAAGCGGAAUUAAGCGAAAGAAUUGGCCCCUCCUAUGGGCGCUCUCGGUUUUGAAUAUAUAUUUUUG